GUUUGAUACCCCGAAACUACGUGAGCUACUUCAAGACAGCCUAUUAAUAGGGCUAACCCAUCUCUGUGGCAAAAGCGUGGGAAGAACUUUGAGUAGAGGUGACAAACCUACCGAACCUAGUUAUAGCUGGUUGUCCAAGAAAUGAAUAAAAGUUCAGCCUCUAAGCUUCUCCUUUCACCUGAACUUAACCCCUUUAGAUGUAUUAAAGAAACUAAGAAAGUUAGUCAAAGGAGGUACAGCUCCUUUGAAUCAAGACACAACUUUAACAGGCGGGUAAAGAUCAUAAUAACCAAAGCUAGACAUUCUGGUGGGCCUAAAAGCAGCCAUCCCUUAGAAAGCGUUAAAGCUCAAACAUAUUACUUAUACCUUCUUAUCCUGAUCAAUAAAUCUCACCCCCCUAACCAUACUGGACCCUCCCAUGCCCCCAUGGGUGUGAUUAUGCUAAUAUGAGUAAUAAGAGAGCCCGCCUCUCUCCCUGCACACGUGUACCUCGGAACAGACAACCCCGCGACCAUUAACGACCCCAAACAAAGAGGGCAAUAAAUCAUAAACUAAAAUCAAGUAAAACAUUUAAAAAUUAACCGUUAACCCCACACAGGUGUACCCCAAGGAAAGACCUAAAGAAAGAGAAGGAACUCGGCAAACACAUAAAGUCUCGCCUGUUUACCAAAAACAUCGCCUCUUGUACCCCCC
rnacentral:rRNA from 1 species